GUAAAUAAGGGCCGAGUAUCUGUUUAGAGAAAAUAGAAUUUCUCCAAAGUUAAUAAAGAGAAUAAAUAAACUCUGCAGAGUAGUAAAGCCGAGGUAGGAUUAAGAAAAAUCCUAUAAGACGAGACUGAGAUAUAGGUGCUAUCCAAUAGGAUGCAUGCAUUCUUUCUAAAGAGAAAUAAUUCAAGUAUUAAUUAGCGUGCUACGCUAUUUAUUUUCAAGGGAUAAAUUGCCCAAGGGCGAGUGAGGCCGAAGCGAGUAUUUGAGUUGAGACAUAAGCAUAUCAGGUUGAACGUCAAGAAGAUGGAGAAAUGAUCGGAGUCGAUACUACUAAAUAAUACAGUGGAUCUUUUCACGAUUCGUGUCUUCAUACACGAAGUCGUCUAGUAUGGACUUAUUCCGCUGCUCUUUUGUGAAGUGAGACAUCUUAGAAUCUCACCUUCGAACUCUGAUUUAUUGAUGUAAUAUUUAUUCUAAGCUCGAAGACCAUGUAAUGGUACAUUUGGCUUCUAUUCUAUGAUAUGAAUUGACUUGGCCUU